rnacentral:rRNA from 1 species
GACAGAGGGUGCAAGCGUUGUUCGGAAUUACUGGGCGUAAAGCGAGUGUAGGCGGGUUGGGAAGUCGGAUGUGAAAGCCCCGGGCUCAACCCGGGAAGUGCACUCGAUACUGCCAAGCUAGAGUAUCGGAGAGGUUGGUGGAAUUCUCGGUGUAGAGGUGAAAUUCGUAGAUAUCGAGAGGAACACCGGUGGCGAAGGCGGCCAACUGGACGAAUACUGACGCUGAGGCACGAAAGCGUGGGGAUCAAACAGG